GAUGAAGAACGUAGUGAAAUGCGAUAAGUAAUGUGAAUUGCAGAAUUCAGUGAAUCAUCGAAUCUUUGAACGCACCUUGCACCCUUUAGCAUUCCGAAGGGUAUGCUCGUUUGAGUGUCAUUGUACUCUCACACUCUCCGAUCCUAUGGAUUCGGGGAGCGGUGGACUUGGGUGUUGCUGCCUUUCCUUGUGGCUCACCUCAAAUGUGUCAGUGCACCUCUUGGUUGGACAUAGUACGGCGUGAUAAGUGUCUUCGCCGGCACCUCGCAAGAGGGUGGCCGAUCGGGAGCUCUGUGCUUUCAAACCGUCUUCGGACAAUUUCUGACAACUUGACCUCAAAUCGAGUAGGACUACCCGCUGAACUUAAGCAUAUCAAUAAGCGGAGGA
rnacentral:misc_RNA from 1 species